rnacentral:rRNA from 1 species
GACGAACGCUGGCGGCGUGCUUAACACAUGCAAGUCGAACGGAAAGGCCCUGCUUUUGUGGGGUGCUCGAGUGGCGAACGGGUGAGUAACACGUGAGUAACCUGCCCUUGACUUUGGGAUGACUUCAGGAAACUGGGGCUAAUACCGGAUAGGAGCUCCUGCUGCAUGGUGGGGGUUGGAAAGUUUCGGCGGUUGGGGAUGGACUCGCGGCUUAUCAGCUUGUUGGUGGGGUAGUGGCUUACCAAGGCUUUGACGGGUAGCCGGCCUGAGAGGGUGACCGGCCACAUUGGGACUGAGAUACGGCCCAGACCCCUACGGGAGGCAGCAGUGGGGAAUAUUGCACAAUGGGCGGAAGCCUGAUGCAGCAACGCCGCGUGCGGGAUGACGGCCUUCGGGUUGUAAACCGCUUUCGCCUGUGACGAAGCGUGAGUGACGGUAAUGGGUAAAGAAGCACCGGCUAACUACGUG